rnacentral:lncRNA from 10 species
AAGAUGGCCGAAUAGGAACAGCUCCGGUCUACAGCUCCCAGCGUGAGCGACGCAGAAGACGGGUGAUUUCUGCAUUUCCAUCUGAGUUAGGCUUGGCCACAAGAGACAAAUUGCAAGGCAUGGAGACAUUUUUCUAACACUUGAAAAUUCUAUGCAAGAGCACCAGGCAGCUCAGUCACCUUGUCACUUAUCUACUGGGUCACCUUGUUGGCAUGGGAUGCCAGCCAGGCUUGCAGCUGCUCCAUCCUCCCCUGAAUUUGUACUUCAGCUUCUCCACUCAUGGCCUGCCCUGAGGACUUCAUGGUUCAGCAUCAGAUAUGAAGACGACAGCCCUAUAGAGACUAUUUAACCAGCUUCUAAGGUGGUUAAAUAUCUUACCAGCCUAUGAUGAAGAAAGGGAAACUCACUUCAGAAGUCCAGAUACCACAGUCUGAGUAGUUCUUUAAUCUGCUUAUCUGGUGAUUCCAUCACAAAUGGUUCAGAUACUUCCAGAGACAACUGCCUUUAGAGGAGUCAUACACAUUCUCCUUCAGCCUGGACACUAACUCAGUAAGCAGCAGCUUCAGAAUAAUGCACCUGUGAUCAGGCCAAUUGGGAUAGAGGCAUCAUCUGCCCUUAUCUUCUCAGAGCCAAAGAAACUAACUUAAUUUUCCGUAUCAGCUUCAUUUUCCCCUUUACUCAAUGCCCAGAGAUUAAUUCUUGGUUUCAGCCCCACCCCAUGAAAAGGAUGUCUAUUCAAUCAGAGAGACACAAAGAUGGCUUGUGCAAACCAAGCAAAAAAGACACAAGAGGAAUUUAUUCUGGUUAAUAAGCUGAGAGCAAACAUGUAGAGGCUAAUUGUAUGGUGAGUACAAGAAGAGUUUCUUAUCUGGGGAGUGUAUAAUGUUGGGGUAGACACUGUCAUUUGUUUUCUUAUCCAAUAGCCAUCAUUCUUCAUUGCUUAGAAAAAAAAACUUUGUGCUACAGCUGUCAGGCAAGUGGCAUGGGAUUUAGGAGAAAAUUAUUUGCUGUCAGCCCUGAAGGAUGAAGGAAUCACAAUUUCUCUGUACAAUCAUGGUAGUCAGCUUUCAAGAUUCCUCCAAUGAUUCUCAUCUCCUGCUAUUCAUGCCCUUGUGUAGUUAUCUCUUGCACAGAAUAGGGCUGAUGUGUGACCAGUAGGAUAUUAUGGAAAUGGCAGAAUUUGAUGUUCAUAAAAGAUGUUGCAGCUUUUACCUCGCUCUCUCAGAUUAUUCACCCUGGAGAAGGCUGUUGUUUAUCUUUUCACAUUGUGAAAACAUUCAAGUGGCCCUCUGUGAAGUCCAUGUGAUUGGGACUUGAGGCUUCCUGACAAUAGCCACCACGAAUUUGCCGACCAUGUGAGUGGCACAACUUUGUUCAGGUGACUGGAGGCCCAGCUGGCAUUUUGCCUGCUAUUUCAUAAGAGACUCCAAGCCAGAACCAUCCAACAGAGCCAACUAAGUCUCUUCCAAAUUCCUGGCCCAAAGAAACUCUGAGAGAUAAUACAUAUUUAUUGUUAUUUAAGCCACUGAAUUUCAGAGUAAUUUGUUAUGCAGAAAUAAAUAACACCAAUUGUGUUGAAUCCCAUUUCUCUCUCAUGGUAUAUAUGUAGUCAGAAAACCAUAGACUAAAAUCCACAGGCAUAUAUGAUAGUCCUUGACAUUACCCAUGUCUUAGUUUAAUAAUCCUGGCUAGUUAAGUACUGCUAAUCCAUAUCUCCAGAAAAAUUUAGAAAGCCCUGAUUUGCAGUGUUUACCUAGUUGUGUGGUGCAAAUAUUCCCACUGGUUGACAUCAUGCUACCAACACAGAGUUGGGAAGAAAUGCACACAAUUGGUUCUUGCAAGCUCAUAUGAGCCCCAACGCACCACUGAAUUGAGCUCAGAAGAAAUAGAUUGGGUCAAGUAAUCAUACUGACCUCUGCCUGUUUGGCCAGAAGGAUCUUCAGAGGUAGUGUAAUGUUUUGACAAUAGCUUUAGGACCAAAUGACCAGGAACAUAAUUUUGCCUAUGCUGUUUUCUGGCUGAGUGACCUCAAUAGGUACUGCUUAUUGGCAAUAAGUGUCAGAUUCUUCAUCUGUAAAAUGAGGAUGGCAAUUUCUGCUCAUCAGAGAUUUGAGAGAAUUAAGUGAAAAUAACAAUAGCAAAAACAACAGUUAUAAGUACUUACUAUAUAUCAGGCCAGAGUUGCUUAUAAGAUAUCAUUACUUAAUUUAAUAAUACAGGCAAAGCAGUAGGGACUAAAUGAAUGCUAACUAUCAGCAUUGUUAUUACAUUUCUGAGCAGGGAGCUGUUCAUUAGAAUGAACACUGAAUCAGAAAUUGUUGGAACUGACCUGUCUCCUAUUUUCCAACCUCAAUUCUUCGUCUUCCUAAGUUGGGCAAAAGGCUCCAGUGAAGAGCUGUGAGGCUUAUGUAUGGGGACUCACCAGGGGCCAGCCCAGGCUGCCCACAAGACCAUGAGCCACCCUGUGACUGAAUGAAGUGGAGAGAAGGGAAAGUAGUUAAGAAAUCAAGAAAAGUGUCUUUCAGCACCAUGGCCAGAAGUUGUGCCACAGAAUUGGAACAGGGAAACCCAGAGAGCCAGUGCUGUCCUAGUCCUAGUGCUGAAUGAUCCCAUUGGUGUCCUUAGAAGGGCUCUGACUUCAGCCCACCAGCAGCAUGUGGACUUAUAAGCUUUCUAGCAGAGUUGGAGAUCCCCAGGAAAAAGAAAUCUCUUAAAAUGAAAUGAAACUUCAAUCAACCAAGGCUUUCUAGCCUGAUGUGAGUUGUCUUUACACACAUAUACCUUUUUAACAAAGAAGAAGAAAAGAAUGGACAUUGAUAGAACUUGCAUUCUGUGUUCAUCACCAGGAUAGUUGCUUUAUAAAUAUCAUUUUGUUUUUAGUCACAACCCAAUGCAGCAUUUUCCUUACUGACAAAGAACCUGAGGCAUGGAGAAUUUAAGCAACUCCCUGAAGGCCACCCAGCUAAUCAGCAGUGGGAAAAGAAUUUAAUUCUAGAUCUUUCAUUCUAAAGCCCAGCUCCUUACACACGUUGGAUGCUACUAUUUCCAAAAUGUCAACAACACUUUGGACUAUCAACCUGUCUAAAGAGUAUUUGAAGCAGUGAUGCAGGCCUCUGAAGGAAAAGGUGCACAUUUUCAACAAUAAAAGAGAGACAUUCCUUUAGUGUAUCUCCACAUUCCCUGAAGGGGAGCUGGAAUGACAUGACGGACUUGGCCUCAGGGCCCCAAGCCUUCCCUGUUGCAGUCUUCAUGACACUCCUCAGAAGCAGCAACUCCAGCCAUGUCUGGAACCAUUCCUUACCAGACAGGAGGAUAUCAUGGCCUCAACUCAUGAUCUGUACCAAGCCAAACCUCUUUUGGGGUACCCACCAAGCCUCAGGCCUCACCUUCUCUGCCCUGUUGUCCCUGCCCAUCUGUCCUGGUUUUCUACUAGUUUCCACUACUGGACACUUGUCUGAGGCUGGGUCCCCACCUGGAUCUUGUGGCCUCUUGCCCAGGGCUUGGAGGGAAGCUGCUCCCACACUUGAAGAUGACAGCUGAGCAUGGUCCUUUGUGGGCGUGCUGUCAGGAAGAUGACAGUGCAAUCUGUUUAAUGUGCCAGUUGUCUCUGUGAGUCCCUCAUCCGGAUGAGCACUUGUCACACCCCUGCAGAGCCCCAGCUGGUUCUUAGAGAGGUGCUCCAGCUCUGUGAUUACCUAAUCUGGCUUCCCAAUCUAUCCCACAAUGUGUCAUUGCUGAGGUCCCUGUGGGUCUUGCAGAUAAACUUGCUACAGUCAUCCUACACAAAAAAGAAGCUCGUUAUCAUGAAACCGGCCUGCUUUUUAGCUCCUGGGCCCUAACUCACCCCAGAUUGCUGCCAGCUCUUUUGUUUUCCCACUUAGACCAAAGGGAUUGAGAAGCUUUCCCAUUCCUUGGAGCUGCCACCCUCCAUUCUAAGGCAGUCUCCCCCUUCACCCUGCUUGCUGCACCCCAGAUGCUGCAAGGCCCAUGUGCUGUUUUUGACUUCAGUACUUCAGAUUGCUGUGGGAACACAGGAGGCAGCAGCCAGAUGAGAAAUUGAGUCUGACUCUGGAGUAUUAUAAAGUCCUUAUAGUUACUGGCAUUAGGUAUAGGGUCUGUAUUAUUAAAGAGAAAUUAUUCACCAAACACUUGUUAAAAAUGGCAAGACAGUUUAUUUAAGAGCAUUGCAAUAGGUAAGUGCUAUGGUCUCAAUGUUUGUGUCUCCCUCAAAUUCAUAAGUUGAAACUUCACUUCCAAGAUGAAGGAAUUAGGAGGUGGGCACUUUAAGGGAUGAUUAUGUCAUAGGCCAGAGCCCUCAUGAACGAGAUCAGUGCCCUUCUAAAAGAGGCAUUGGGAGAGACCCCUCACCUUUUCCAUCAUAUGAGGACACAGCCAGGAAGCAUCAUCCACGAACCAGAAAAUUGGCCCUUACCAGACACUGAAUCUGCUGAUGUCCUGACCAUGGACUUCUGAGCCUUCUGAACUGUGAGAGAUAAAUUUCUGUUGUUUAUAAGCCUUCUGGUUGAUGAUAUUUUGUUAUAGCAGCCCAAACAGAAGGGGACAGGGAGAGAGAUGGAACUCAACUUCAAAUACAAACAGGGACAAGUGGGGCUUUAGAGCCAGUGGGCCCAGUGAGGCAGAGGACAGAGAAUUACUAUGGGGAACUUGGGAUAGGGGAGAGAGACCUGAUUAGAUAUCAAGGGCAGGGGGGAUUCCCAAUAAACUGCCUCAGCAGAAUUUUUGCUAAAACUGGGCUCAGCAGGCCAUGGAGGAGGCCUAGUUGAGAAGAGGGCUCAGAGUGUGGUCAAUGAGAGAGGCUUUGUCAGUUUCAGUCAGGGUUCUUCAGAGAAACAGAAACAAUAAGAAAGAGAAAGAUUGAGAUUUAUUUUAAGGGAUUGAGUCAUGCAAUUGUGGAUGCUGGCAAGUCUGAAAUCUAGGGCAGGCCCUUUGGAUAGAAAUUCAGACAAGAGUUGAAAUUGUAAUCUUGGGCCCAAAGUCUGCAGGGCAGACCAGUGGGCUGGAAAUCUAGACAGGAUUUCUAUGUCAGUUUUGAGGCAGAAUGCCUUCUUCCCCUGACACCUCAGCUUUUGCUCCUAAGGCCUUCAUCUGAUUGGAUGAGGCCCACCCACAUCAUGGAGGGUAAUCUGCUUUACUUAAAGUCUGCCAAUUGUAAAUGUUAAUCACAUCUACAAAAUGCCUUCCUAACAACAUCCAGACUAGUUGACCAAACAACUGGCCCCAAUCGCCUAGCCAAGUUGACAAGAAAAAUUAGCCUUCACAGGGUCUGAAGAGAGUAUGUGGACACCUAGACAGGUAUGUUCAGUCCAUCUUUGCUUCCAAGGGAUGCUCACAAGUCUCCCCAGUUGAUCCUAUUUUUUAGGGAAGACAAUGCAGAGGAUCCUCCCCCACCCCCAUCACCCCUUUCCAUAACCUAGAGAUAAAAAUGAAGUAAGAAAGAUUUGUUCCUGGGCCGGGUGUGGUGGCUCAUACCUGUAAUCCUAGAACUUUGGGAGGCCAAGGUGGGUGGAUCACCAGCUCAGAAGUUCGAGACCAGCCUGGCCAACAUGGCAAACCCCCAUCUCUACUAAUAAUACAAAAAUUAGCCAGGUGUGGUGGCGGGCAACUCUAAUCCCAGCUACUCAGGAGGCUGAGGCAGGAGAAUCGCUUGAACCUGGGAGGCGGGGGUUGCAGUGAGCCAAGAUUGUGUCUCUGCACUCCAGCCUGGGCAACAAGAGCAACAAAAAACAAAAAACAAAAAAAUUAAAACAAACAAACAAAAAAAGAGAUUUGUUCCUGUACCUCAAGUGGACAACUGAUGUCCAGAGACCCACUGGACUGAGAACAUCCACCUUCCUCAGUUUCUGACUGCCGAGCAAUGAUGACUGGGGACAUUUCAUGCAGGUACAUCACCGAGGAGUGAAGAAAGUAGUCACCUGAACCAAAUAGUAAGGUCUCUGUCCCAGAGAGCCUGGGGGUUUGGCAAAAAUGCUGUGAACACCCAUAUGGGCAUUGCAUUGUUAAUCUGUACAUGUGAACAAGAAAGGAUUAGCCCCCAGACCUCAUACUCAAGGAUGAUUGUAGUGGAAAGUCCCACUUCCCAUUGUGCUUCUGCUUCCUGAUGCUCAAGAAUAAGCUUUAGGCUUGACCAAGUGGGGGUGGGAGGAAACACAAACAGAAACUGCCACUACCCUCCCCACAAGUAGAAAAAUUUAAGCGUGUCUUGUUCUCUAAUGAAGUUUUGUAACAGUAGCCUACAUGGUGAAAACAAAGUCGAAGCCGCCUCCAGCGUGCUUAAAACCAGGUUUAAGCUGCUGGCUGCUACUGUUGCUUCACCAAGCACCUUAGUUCCAGGGAAUGGGCUUCAUCUCUGUUUCACAGAGAAGUCCCCUUUGCCAAAGAAUGUGGGUGGCCUACAGAGAAGCAGGGCAGUGAAUAUACUUUCCCUGCCUUCUGUGAUGCAUUUUCUUCGUGCAGCUCUAAAGCAAGAUUGUUUGUUGUUAUAAUGACGGCCUUUCCGUCUUUACUUACAACAUCCUGUUCUCCCAGGACAUUAAAGGCUGGGCUGAGAGACAAAGCUGAGGGACGCCUAGUCUGGCUGCCUCCCUGGUGCCAACCAAGUUCCUGACUGGAUCAGGCUCAACCUACAGGAAUUCCUCCCCCGUCAUUCACUCACUAAUGUGUUUUAAAAACAUAUUUUGAGUGCCUACUGCUGGUGCUAGGGAAACAGCUGUGACUAACCAUCUCUGACAUUCUGGGGUGCCCAUCCUCACAAAGGAGGCCUCUGCUCCCAGCACACCAGUGGCAGAUGUGUCCACAUAGAUCCGACUCCA